UGGGGAAUAUUGCGCAAUGGGGGCAACCCUGACGCAGCAACGCCGCGUGCGGGACGACGGCCUUCGGGUUGUAAACCGCUUUCAGCAGGGAAGAUAGUGACGGUACCUGCACAAGAAGCCCCGGCUAACUACGUGCCAGCAGCCGCGGUAAUACGUAGGGGGCGAGCGUUAUCCGGAUUCAUUGGGCGUAAAGCGCGCGCAGGCGGCUCUUCAAGCGGAACCUCUAACCCCGGGGCUCAACCGCGGGCCGGGUUCCGAACUGGAGGGCUCGAGGGCGGGAGGGGCAGGGGGAAUUUCCGGUGUAGCGGUGGAAUGCGCAGAUAUCGGGAAGAACAACGAUGGCGAAGGCAGCCGGCUGGGCCGGCUCUGACGCUGGGGCGCGAAAGCUAGGGGAGCGAACAGG
rnacentral:rRNA from 1 species